AACGUUGAAACACUUAUUCCCGUACAAUCACCGAAGUUAAGCAACGUCGAGCAUGGUCAGUGCCUAAAUGGGUGACCGUUUGGGAAUACUAGGUACUGUAAU